rnacentral:rRNA from 1 species
UUUUUAUGUUGUGACCUCUGAGCUCCAGAUUGGGACAGAGGGAAUCAGCAUAAUUUUUUGUGGUGCAUUUACUUGAUUGGUGCUUGGGGAUGUUUGAGGCAGAUUUGUUUCCGUCGUUUUGAGGCCAGCUUGCUGGUACCCAAACGGUGUUAGCAUUUUUUGUCUUGGGCAUUUGAGUAUGGCUCACGUGUAUUUAUUGGACAGAUCUGAGUGUAAGUUACGGUCGCAUGCGACACGUGCUUUUCAAUUAGUUCGGUCCAGUUAAUGCUCUCGUACUCGUUCCCCAUGUAAAAGCCGGUCAUCUAUCCGACCCGUCUUGAAACACGGACCAAGGAGUUUAUCGUGUGCGCAAGUUUUUGGGUGUUAAAAACUUAAAAGCGAAAUGAAAGUAAAUGACUCUUUAGAGUCUGAUGUGCGAUCUUGUAAAAAAGUGUAGCAUGGCCCCAUUCUAACUGUUUACAGUAGGGUGGCGGAAGAGCGUACGCGGUGAGACCCGAAAGAUGGUGAACUAUUCCUGAGCAGGACGAAGCCAGAGGAAACUCUGGUGGAAGUCCGAAGCGGUUCUGACGUGCAAAUCGAUCGUCUGACUUGGGUAUAGGGGCGAAAGACU